rnacentral:rRNA from 1 species
AGGUAAUAAUCCUGUAGUCGAAAAUGUUGUCUCUCUUGAGUGGAUCCUGAGUACGACGGAGCACGUGAAAUUCCGUCGGAAUCUGGGAGGACCAUCUCCUAAGGCUAAAUACUCUCUAGUGACCGAUAGUGAACCAGUACCGUGAGGGAAAGGUGAAAAGCACCCCGGAAGGGGAGUGAAAUAGAACCUGAAACCGUGUGCUUACAAGUAGUCAGAGCCCGUUAAUGGGUGAUGGCGUGCCUUUUGUAGAAUGAACCGGCGAGUUACGAUUUGAUGCAAGGUUAAGCAGUAAAUGUGGAGCCGUAGCGAAAGCGAGUCUGAAUAGGGCGUUUAGUAUUUGGUCGUAGACCCGAAACCAGGUGAUCUACCCUUGGUCAGGUUGAAGUUCAGGUAACACUGAAUGGAGGACCGAACCGACUUACGUUGAAAAGUGAGCGGAUGAACUGAGGGUAGCGGAGAAAUUCCAAUCGAACCUGGAGAUAGCUGGUUCUCUCCGAAAUAGCUUUAGGGCUAGCCUCAAGUGAUGAUUAUUGGAGGUAGAGCACUGUUUGGACGAGGGGCCCCUCUCGGGUUACCGAAUUCAGACAAACUCCGAAUGCCAAUUAAUUUAACUUGGGAGUCAGAACAUGGGUGAUAAGGUCCGUGUUCGAAAGGGAAACAGCCCAGACCACCAGCUAAGGUCCCAAAAUAUAUGUUAAGUGGAAAAGGAUGUGGCGUUGCCCAGACAACUAGGAUGUUGGCUUAGAAGCAGCCAUCAUUUAAAGAGUGCGUAAUAGCUCACUAGUCGAGUGACACUGCGCCGAAAAUGUACCGGGGCUAAACAUAUUACCGAAGCUGUGGAUUGUCCUUUGGACAAUGGUAGGAGAGCGUUCUAAGGGCGUUGAAGCAUGAUCGUAAGGACAUGUGGAGCGCUUAGAAGUGAGAAUGCCGGUGUGAGUAGCGAAAGACGGGUGAGAAUCCCGUCCACCGAUUGACUAAGGUUUCCAGAGGAAGGCUCGUCCGCUCUGGGUUAGUCGGGUCCUAAGCUGAGGCCGACAGGCGUAGGCGAUGGAUAACAGGUUGAUAUUCCUGUACCACCUAUAAUCGUUUUAAUCGAUGGGGGGACGCAGUAGGAUAGGCGAAGCGUGCGAUUGGAUUGCACGUCUAAGCAGUAAGGCUGAGUAUUAGGCAAAUCCGGUACUCGUUAAGGCUGAGCUGUGAUGGGGAGAAGACAUUGUGUCUUCGAGUCGUUGAUUUCACACUGCCGAGAAAAGCCUCUAGAUAGAAAAUAGGUGCCCGUACCGCAAACCGACACAGGUAGUCAAGAUGAGAAUUCUAAGGUGAGCGAGCGAACUCUCGUUAAGGAACUCGGCAAAAUGACCCCGUAACUUCGGGAGAAGGGGUGCUCUUUAGGGUUAACGCCCAGAAGAGCCGCAGUGAAUAGGCCCAAGCGACUGUUUAUCAAAAACACAGGUCUCUGCUAAACCGUAAGGUGAUGUAUAGGGGCUGACGCCUGCCCGGUGCUGGAAGGUUAAGAGGAGUGGUUAGCUUCUGCGAAGCUACGAAUCGAAGCCCCAGUAAACGGCGGCCGUAACUAUAACGGUCCUAAGGUAGCGAAAUUCCUUGUCGGGUAAGUUCCGACCCGCACGAAAGGCGUAACGAUUUGGGCACUGUCUCAACGAGAGACUCGGUGAAAUCAUAGUACCUGUGAAGAUGCAGGUUACCCGCGACAGGACGGAAAGACCCCGUGGAGCUUUACUGUAGCCUGAUAUUGAAAUUCGGCACAGCUUGUACAGGAUAGGUAGGAGCCUUUGAAACGUGAGCGCUAGCUUACGUGGAGGCGCUGGUGGGAUACUACCCUAGCUGUGUUGGCUUUCUAACCCGCACCACUUAUCGUGGUGGGAGACAGUGUCAGGCGGGCAGUUUGACUGGGGCGGUCGCCUCCUAAAAGGUAACGGAGGCGCUCAAAGGUUCCCUCAGAAUGGUUGGAAAUCAUUCAUAGAGUGUAAAGGCAUAAGGGAGCUUGACUGCGAGACCUACAAGUCGAG